AUAUAUCAACCUCUUCAGCUUUUGCUUGUUGAGUGCUGGAUGUGGGGGGCCUUUUGCUGGUCUUUUUUGAUACAUAAAAGAAGUCAGCUCCCCUAAAAUAUAUUAGCAGAACAAUUUGUUGAUCGUUCAUUGGCAUGAUAAUUAUUUAUGCUAUUGACGUGAGGCAGUUUAGCUUCUAACAGUCUAUUGGCUUGGACAAUUUUCAUUA
rnacentral:misc_RNA from 1 species